AGCAGCCGCGGUAAUUCCAGCUCCAAUAGCGUAUAUUAAAGUUGUUGCAGUUAAAAAGCUCGUAGUUGAACUUCAGGCCUGUCCAGAUGGUCCGCCUUAAUUGGUGUGUACUGUCCUUGGGUGGGUCCUACCUUCUGGCGAAGCGGCAUGGCCUUAAUUGGUUGUGUCGGGGAACCAGGACUUUUACUGUGAAAAAUUAGAGUGUUCAAAGCAGGCAUUAUAUGCUCGAAUACAUUAGCAUGGAAUAAUGGAAUAGGACGAUGGUUUUAUUUUGUUGGUUCUAGGACCGUUGUAAUGAUUAAUAGGGAUAGUUGGGGGCAUUAGUAUUCAAUUGUCAGAGGUGAAAUUCUUGGAUUUAUUGAAGACUAACUACUGCGAAAGCAUUUGCCAAGGAUGUUUUCAUUAAUCAAGAACGAAAGUUAGGGGAUACGAAGACGAUCAGAUACCGUCGUAGUCUUAACCAUAAACUAUGCCGACUAGGAAUCGGGCGAUGUUGACAAAAUGACUCG
rnacentral:rRNA from 1 species